rnacentral:rRNA from 1 species
CACAUGCAAGUCGAACGAAGUUAGGAAGCUUGCUUCUGAUACUUAGUGGCGGACGGGUGAGUAAUGCUUAGGAAUCUGCCUAGUAGUGGGGGAUAACUUGGGGAAACCCAAGCUAAUACCGCAUACGACCUACGGGUGAAAGGGGGCGCAAGCUCUCGCUAUUAGAUGAGCCUAAGUCGGAUUAGCUAGUUGAUGGGGUAAAGGCCUACCAAGGCGACGAUCUGUAGCUGGUCUGAGAGGAUGAUCAGCCACACUGGGACUGAGACACGGCCCAGACUCCUACGGGAGGCAGCAGUGGGGAAUAUUGGACAAUGGGCGAAAGCCUGAUCCAGCCAUGCCGCGUGUGUGAAGAAGGCCUUUUGGUUGUAAAGCACUUUAAGUGGGGAGGAAAAGCUUAUGGUUAAUACCCAUAAGCCCUGACGUUACCCACAGAAUAAGCACCGGCUAAUUCUGUGCCAGCAGCCGCGGUAAUACAGAGGGUGCAAGCGUUAAUCGGAAUUACUGGGCGUAAAGCGCGCGUAGGUGGUUAUUUAAGUCAGAUGUGAAAGCCCCGGGCUUAACCUGGGAACUGCAUCUGAUACUGGAUAACUAGAGUAGGUGAGAGGGGAGUAGAAUUCCAGGUGUAGCGGUGAAAUGCGUAGAGAUCUGGAGGAAUACCGAUGGCGAAGGCAGCUCCCUGGCAUCAUACUGACACUGAGGUGCGAAAGCGUGGGUAGCAAACAGGAUUAGAUACCCUGGUAGUCCACGCCGUAAACGAUGUCUACCAGUCGUUGGGUCUUUUAAAGACUUAGUGACGCAGUUAACGCAAUAAGUAGACC